CGCCCAAGUCCCUAAUUUUUCAAUGGCCUCGUUGUCUUGCGAAAACUGCGACACCAUGAUCAUGAUGCCUUUAAGCCCCUGCCAUGUCUCGGGGUGCUGACCCUGGACCGCAUGCCCCGGGAGACCCUUGCAGCGGCAAGUGACCCCCCUCACCCUGCGCCCGCGGGAGCCUCGUUUUUCUGCCGGCCCGCGUGCUUGGACUCCGCUCCGCGAUCCGUCCCCGCUUCGCGAUUGGCUGUGUUGUGCUGUGCACCCAAAAACUAAAACGCUGGUCUUUCGUUUUGGGGUCCCCUUUAUUGGGCCCUGAAAACCCACACCCGGCCCCCUGCUACCUUAAUGCUGUAGCGCGCCCCGCCGGCCAACAUGAGUUUGGCCCAGCGGUCCUUCCGGUUCCUCCCUACGGUUGCACGCCCUCCGACUGCUGCCUCUCUCGCGGACUUGCCUCGCGGAUCGCGCGGGUGCAUCGGCGGUGGGCGCUGCCAGUCGAUGGCCUCGACUGCCCUCCGUGUACCCGCCUCCUAUGCAAUCCGUGCGCUCUCGCGCUCCUGUUUGUGUGUGCCAUUGUGCUUGACCGUUAAGUUCGAUUCAUGAUUCAGUAACACGGACGGAAAAUGUCGGCUCCGAUCAGAACAUCUAUCUGGGAAUGGCCGGUAAAUCGACCAGCGCAUCUCGUGGAAUUGGGUACGACGGAAGCAUUCCAGCCAGUUCAGGCAAAACGUCGGAAUGUCGGACUUGGAUGACUGGGACUGCUCCCAUAUGGAGAGGGUAAGUUUUGGCAAUCUACGCACAGGAAAACCAGGAGUCAAUCCCAGUUUUCUGUAGAAAUGUUGGAAUGAGCCAGCUCUGUAGGUCUUUCAGAGCCUGGCCAGAUUCGGGACUUACGGAACCCAAAUUAAAAAUUAGUUUGAGUUGGCUGUUUACUAGCAGUCUCUUAUUUUCGAAACGGUCUCGAAGCGCUUCACAUGCUGAAUCGAAUUGUCUAAUACUGCGUGUGGAUCUUUAAGCUGGAACGCGUGACUUUCAUCUGUGGAAAUGCAGGAGAGCUUAAGGAUAUGUCGCUUUUUGCGUUGAAAAUCAAAGUUUUGAGUUCUUGUUUACCCUGAGACACGCGAGGGAACGUUGAUCGUGGUCGCUCUAAGCUUAC